rnacentral:rRNA from 1 species
CUCCGGUUGAUCCUGCCGGACCCGACUGCUAUCAGAGUGAGAUUAAGCCAUGCGAGUUAACGUAGCAAUACGUGGCGCACGGCUCAGUAACACGUAGUCAACAUGCCCAGGGGACGUGGAUAACCUCGGGAAACUGAGGAUAAACCGCGAUAGGUCAUCACUUCUGGAAUGGGUAAUGACUUAAAUCUAUAUGGCCCCUGGAUUGGACUGCGGCCGAUCAGGCUGUUGGUGAGGUAAUGGCCCACCAAACCUGUAACCGGUACGGGCUCUGAGAGGAGGAGCCCGGAGAUGGGCACUGAGACAAGGGCCCAGGCCCUAUGGGGCGCAGCAGGCGCGAAACCUCUGCAAUAGGCGAAAGCUUGACAGGGUUACUCUGAGUGAUUUCCGUUAAGGAGAUCUUUUGGCACCUCUAAAAAUGGUGCAGAAUAAGGGGUGGGCAAGUCUGGUGUCAGCCGCCGCGGUAAUACCAGCACCCCGAGUGGUCGGGACGUUUAUUGGGCCUAAAGCAUCCGUAGCCGGUUCUACAAGUCUUCCGUUAAAUCCACCUGCUUAACAGAUGGGCUGCGGAAGAUACUAUAGAGCUAGGAGGCGGGAGAGGCAAGCGGUACUCGAUGGGUAGGGGUAAAAUCCGUUGAUCCAUUGAAGACCACCAGUGGCGAAGGCGGCUUGCCAGAACGCGCUCGACGGUGAGGGAUGAAAGCUGGGGGAGCAAACCGGAUUAGAUACCCGGGUAGUCCCAGCUGUAAACGAUGCAGACUCGGUGAUGAGUUGGCUUAUUGCUAACUCAGUGCCGCAGGGAAGCCGUUAAGUUUGCCGCCUGGGGAGUACGGUCGCAAGACUGAAACUUAAGGAAUUGGCGGGGGAGCA